rnacentral:misc_RNA from 1 species
AGUAGCACCUUUCCCUAGCACUGUAUAAUGGCGAAACAGGCAAGGGGACAGAUUAGCCAAUGGUGGCCACUGAACAAGUCUGGCCUCAUCCUGUCUCUAUGAAGCGAUCGAUGAGACACGUCCCGCUCGACUGAUUCCAGUCCAGGGCGUCUAUCUCUGUCCGUGGUGCAGGUUUGGUUCCGGGAUCUGUAGAGAACGCCUCAAGCUUCCCUACUGGACUACAAUACCGACUUAAUGAGUGGCACGACGUCACCGCCAUAAUUGAUCACGUGACCAGCCCGGGCGACACCGUGUUGUAAGGAACCAGAGGACGAGAGAAGGCCUGAGUGGAGGAACCCUGGAUUCCCUUACAAUUCUUAUACCCACAGAAAUGGACGGCCCCAGUAAGAGCGGCGAUCAAUACCGGUGAUGGCAGCAUGAGGGUGGCAGGUUUGUUGGCUUGGGGAAGGUUAACACGCCAUUGGAAGGAUUGAAUACCGACGGAUAGAGACAGUAGGGAUCCAAUACACCGGCUACGCUUUGCUACUGUCAUUGUCUACAAACCUGGAUACCACAUGUAUGGGCUCAGUAGCUGGUCCUUUGCUGCUUCAACCGUCGUCUGCUACUAAUGAACUGGUCCCCAGCUUAUGAGAGAAUGCCCCGACGUCGCUACCAGCUGAUCAGAAGGUGAAGGCCGUCGCGCACCAUGAGGCAUAAAAGCAGUGGCGGUAGAGCGGCGGAUGCACAUGUUACAUAAGGGGUUAAUCCACCUAGCCGGACACUGACUGUCAUCACACUCGUAGGGUUAAUGUCAUCACAGAGCGACCUUACGUGGUAGUAGUUUCCUAGGCGACAUUACACCGGAAGGAGAGGUGGAUAGAAGCUCUCCACUUCCGGAGGUAGAGAAAUAUUAGUAGAGUCUCGUUCUGGAUAAUAGUGAUUCGCAGACUCGGAUGGUGUGUUCACUGUGGAUCAAGGUUUAGUUCUCCUUCGUUCCGACUGUUUGUGUGAUUCAUAUAGAGGAUCUAUUGCAGAAGGAUACAACAACAACCAUUUAUAUUGCUUUGUGUACCAACAAAGGGGGCAUUCGGUUGACCCUCUGUGUAUUGACGAGGGAACACAAUGACUGAUGCAGAUAACAGGGUUAUCCUCAAUGUAGGAGGCAUACGUCAUGAAACGUAUAAAGCCACCUUGAAGAAAAUCCCGGCCACUCGAUUGUCCCGUUUGACGGAGGCCUUGGCCAACUAUGAUCCGGUACUCAAUGAGUACUUUUUUGAUCGCCAUCCCGGGGUCUUUGCUCAAAUCCUCAACUACUAUCGUAGUGGCAAACUUCAUUACCCGACCGAUGUGUGCGGUCCGUUGUUUGAAGAGGAGUUGGAGUUCUGGUCUCUUGAUGCCAACCAGGUGGAACCCUGUUGCUGGAUGACGUACACACAGCACAGGGACACCCAAGAUGUGCUCGCCAUCUUGGAUCGGUUGGAUCUUGACACAGACAAACCAACAGAAGAGGACAUCAUGAAGAGGUUUGGACUUGAGGAAGAGUACAAACAAGGCGAGCUGAACUGCUGGCAGCGGAUUAAACCAAAAAUCUGGGCAUUGUUCGAUGAACCGUACUCGUCUACAGCCGCAAAGGCAAGUCACCAGAUAAUUGCGGUUAUAUCUGUGUUCUUCAUAGUAAUCUCUAUAUUGUCCUUCUGCCUCAAAACGCAUCCCGAGAUGAGAGUUCCGGUCUUGCGCAAUACCACUUCCAAAACGGCUGACGGGAAUACAACAUGGCGACUAGAGAAAACAGAGACCGAACCUCACGACGCUUUUUUCUACAUUGAAUGUGCGAGCAAUGCUUGGUUCACCUUCGAAAUCAUUAUUCGCUUCAUCGUAGCACCUAAUAAAUUUGAUUUUUUGAAAGCACCCGUGAAUAUAAUUGACAUUGUAGCCACGUUAUCUUUCUAUUUAGAUUUCUUGCUCACAAAACUACAACAGGAAAGCGACAUGCUGGAGUUUUUUAGCAUUAUCCGUAUCAUGAGACUUUGUAAGCUAACGCGGCAUUCCGCGGGACUGAAGAUUCUCAUUCAUACCUUCAAAGCCAGUGCAAAGGAGUUAAUCCUCCUCAUAUUCUUCCUCGUGCUCGGUAUCGUCAUCUUUGCAGCGCUCAUCUACUAUGCUGAGCGUAUUCAGUAUAACCCGGAAAAUGACUUCCAGAGCAUCCCUGUGGGCUUGUGGUGGGCCAUAGUCACCAUGACAACAGUGGGAUACGGGGACAUGGUCCCUAAAACCUAUGUCGGGAUGUUUGUUGGAGCCUUAUGCGCAUUGGCUGGUGUGCUUACGAUAGCCCUUCCCGUACCUGUUAUCGUCAGUAACUUCGCUCUGUUUUACUCGCAUACUCAAGCAAGAUCUAAACUACCCAAGAAGAGGAGACGGGUUCUACCAGUGGAGGCACCCCGCCCGAAGGGACCAAAAGCCCCAGGGGCGCCCGGGGGUGCUGGAGGCCCCGGACCAGGGGGCACACGCAGGAUGAACGCCAUCAAACAUAACCAUCCUGGGGCGUUAGAGGCGAAGAUGGGCAGAAUAGCCCACGGGGGCGCUUUACAGGAGCUGAUGCCCUUCCGUACUGUCGGAAUGGGUGCCAAUCGUCCGUUCUAUAAUAAUAUUGGCCGAAAUGGGGAGGAGGCAAUCCCAAUGCUGAUGCUAAACCAUACUGAAAGUAGUGGAGGGCAGGACACGAGCGCCCGUUCACGAUCGCAAAGUACCGUUGAAAGGUCACCUCCACGGAUGGUAGAAAUAAGCUCCAAUCCCGGUUCACCCCUCAAAGUAACUGAAAUCAAAACUUCUGACGCGCAAGGGGGACCAACUGCUCUCUCCAGUCUCCUUGUCACACCCAAUGCUCAGCUAGCCAUGAACUCCACAGCAGGGCCAGCACCACCUUCAGCACCUGCACCAGCAGCGCAACUGCAGUGUGGGGAGCAAGACAAAAUUUUAGAAAAAGGUACCUUUUAGUAUGCUCCUUUACACUUUUGGAUGGGAAGGUUCCACAGUUCCCUUGUUAAUUUUGUAAUGAGGAUUACCCAUUCCAACGUCAGAUGGCGCUGUGAUAGAACCGGUAGUGACGUCACUUCCGUCUGGGAAC